rnacentral:rRNA from 1 species
CAGCCGCCGCGGUAAUACGGAGGGAGCUAGCGUUGUUCGGAAUUACUGGGCGUAAAGCGUACGUAGGCGGCUUUGUAAGUAAGAGGUGAAAGCCUGGAGCUCAACUCCAGAACUGCCUUUUAGACUGCAUCGCUUGAAUCCAGGAGAGGUGAGUGGAAUUCCGAGUGUAGAGGUGAAAUUCGUAGAUAUUCGGAAGAACACCAGUGGCGAAGGCGGCUCACUGGACUGGUAUUGACGCUGAGGUACGAAAGCGUGGGGAGCAAACAGGAUUAGAUACCCUGGUAGUCCACGCCGUAAACGAUGAUAACUAGCUGUCAGGGCACUUGGUGCUUUGGUGGCGCAGCUAACGCAUUAAGUUAUCCGCCUGGGGAGUACGGUCGCAAGAUUAAAACUUAAAGGAAUUGGCGGG